AUAUCAAUAAGCGGAGGAAAAGAAACCAACAGGGAUUGCCUCAGUAACGGCGAGUGAAGCGGCAGCAGCUCAAAUUUGAAAUCUGGCCUCGCGGCCCGAGUUGUAAUUUGGAGAAGGUGCUUCGGGCGCGACUCCGGUCCAAGUUUCUUGGAACAGGGCGUCCCAGAGGGUGAGAAUCCCGUACGCGGCCGAGGGUCAAGCCCUUGCGAAGCCCUUUCGACGAGUCGAGUUGUUUGGGAAUGCAGCUCCAAACGGGUGGUAAAUUUCAUCUAAAGCUAAAUAUUCGCCGGAGACCGAUAGCGCACAAGUAGAGUGAUCGAAAGAUGAAAAGAACUUUGAAAAGAGAGUCAAAAAGUACGUGAAAUUGUUAAAAGGGAAGCGCUUGCAACCAGACUCGUUCGCGGGUGCUCAGCCGUCCUUCGGGACGGUGCAUUUCCCCGCGGACGGGCCAGCAUCGGUUCUGGCGACUGGAUAAAAGCUCGAGGAAUGUAGCUUCCCUCGGGAAGUGUUAAGCCUCGGGCGUAAUACGGUCAGCCGGGACCGAGGAUCGCGCAUUCGCAAGGAUGCUGGCGUAAUGGUUGCCAGCGACCCGUCUUGAAACACGGACCAAGGAGUCGACCAACCGAGCGAGUGUUUGGGUGUCAAACCCCGGCGCGGAAUGAAAGUGAACGGAGGUGAGAGCCUUCGGGUGCAUCAUCGACCGAUCCUGAUGUCUUCGGAUGGAUUUGAGUAUGAGCUUGGCUGGUCGGACCCGAAAGAUGGUGAACUAUACGUGAAUAGGGUGAAGCCAGAGGAAACUCUGGUGGAGGCUCGCAGCGGUUCUGACGUGCAAAUCGAUCGUCAAAUUUGCGUAUAGGGGCGAAAGACUAAUCGAACCUUCUAGUAUCUGGUUCCUGUCGAAGU
rnacentral:rRNA from 1 species